CGGUGGAGCAUGUGGUUUAAUUUCGACGCAACGCGCAGAACCUUACCUGGGCUUGACAUCCCGAUCGUACUUUCUGGAAACAGUUAGGUCAGUUCGGCUGGAUCGGUGACAGGUGCUGCAUGGCUGCCGUCAGCUCGUGUCGUGAGAUGUUGGGUUAAGUCCCGCAACGAGCGCAACCCUCGACCUUAGUUGCCAGCAUUCAGUUGGGCACUCUAAGGUGACUGCCGGCUAAAAGUCGGAGGAAGGUGGGGAUGACGUCAAAUCAUCAUGCCCCUUAUGACCUGGGCUACACACGUGCUACAAUGGGGCGUACAGAGAGCUGCGAUACCGCGAGGUGGAGCCAAUCUCUUAAAGCGUCUCUCAGUUCGGAUUGUUCUCUGCAACUCGAGAACAUGAAGCUGGAAUCACUAGUAAUCGCAGAUCAGCUAUGCUGCGGUGAAUACGUUCCCGGGUCUU
rnacentral:rRNA from 1 species